CCACCUCCACCCGCCCCCACCGCGGCCCAACUUGGAGGGAAUUGGGGUCCUGAGCGCCUGCCCCCCACAGCCGCCAGCGCAGAGCCACGCGCUGCCACCUUCGAUUGAACAGGAGAAUCUGGAACCAGGAGUGAGCAGAGCUGGCCCCAGGCCUUGGUGGCUGUGUACUAGUUCUGUGACCUGCAAUCAGUCACUUAACUUCUGUGAGCUCCUCUCUUUCCGUCUGUAAAAAAGGAAUAUGUACUACCCACUUCCUGAGUAGAUGUUGAAGAUGUUGUAAAAGGUUCGAGUCAACCAAUUAAAAGCAAUAGAUCACAUGAAGAUGAGUAUAUCUUCUGUUUGUUGGGACAUAAUCCAGAGAGGAUCUUUCUCCCCAGAUAUUAUGGGAUGGCCACAUUUUACAGCUGAGAGUGACAAGGCUUAGAAACUAAACAUAUAAGGUCCUGCCCCAUCUCCUGGAAGAAGGAAUGCUACACAGAGAGGCUAAGAAGACUCUGGACAGUGCAGAAUCUGGAGCUAGAGAAAAAUUUAAAAAGCCACAAGGAUGUGAAUUGCUGAGCCUGAGAUAGAAGAGGUAGGGAAAAAAAACAUAAGAACCUGCUUGUCUUCUGUUGAGUUAAAACGAACUAUUUUUUAAAAUAGUGUGAAAUAAAGGAAAUGAGAGACAUAUUAAGGAUAUGCUACAGUGAAUGUAGAGACAA
rnacentral:lncRNA from 1 species